CCUCUAAUGAAUUGACGGGGGCCUGCCCAAGCGGCGGAGCAUGUGGUUUAACUUGAUGCAACGCGAAGAACCUUACCUACUCUUGACAUCCAGAGAAUUCGCUAGAGAUAGUUUAGUGCCUUCGGGAGCUCUGAGACAGGUGCUGCAUGGCUGUCGUCAGCUCGUGUUGUGAAAUGUUGGGUUAAGUCCCGCAACGAGCGCAACCCUUAUCCUUGUUUGCCAGCACGUAAUGGUGGGAACUCCAGGGAGACUGCCGGUGAUAAACCGGAGGAAGGUGGGGACGACGUCAAGUCAUCAUGGCCCUUACGAGUAGGGCUACACACGUGCUACAAUGGCGCAUACAGAGGGCUGCAAGCUAGCGAUAGUGAGCGAAUCCCAAAAAGUGCGUCGUAGUCCGGAUCGGAGUCUGCAACUCGACUCCGUGAAGUCGGAAUCGCUAGUAAUCGUGAAUCAGAAUGUCACGGUGAAUACGUUCCCGGGCCUUGUACACACCGCCCGUCACACCAUGGGAGUGGGCUGCAAAAGAAGUGGGAGAGUAAGAUCAUGGCACGAGAGCGAAUCUACCAUCGUGAUCCACUGUGCUGAGUGUCUAU
rnacentral:rRNA from 1 species